rnacentral:rRNA from 1 species
GACGUAGGAUGCAAGCGUUGUCCGGAAUUAUUGGGCGUAAAGAGUUCGUAGGUGGCAUAUCAAGUCUGGCGUUAAAGCCCGGAGCUCAACUCCGGUUCGGCGCUGGAUACUGGUAAGCUAGAGUGCAGUAGGGGCAAGGGGAAUUCCCAGUGUAGCGGUGAAAUGCGUAGAUAUUGGGAGGAACACCGGUGGCGUAAGCGUCUUGCUGGACUGUAACUGACACUGAGGAACGAAAGCCAGGGGAGCAAAUGGG